rnacentral:rRNA from 1 species
UACAGAGGUCUCAAGCGUUGUUCGGAUUCAUUGGGCGUAAAGGGUGCGUAGGUGGGUCUGUAAGUCAGUGGUGAAAUCUCCGGGCUUAACUCGGAAACUGCCAUUGAUACUAUAGGUCUUGAAUUAUCUGGAGGUGAGCGGAAUAUGUCAUGUAGCGGUGAAAUGCUUAGAUAUGACAUAGAACACCAAUUGCGAAGGCAGCUCACUACGGAUAUAUUGACACUGAGGCACGAAAGCGUGGGGAUCAAACAGG